rnacentral:rRNA from 1 species
UACGUAGGGUGCGAGCGUUGCCCGGAUUUAUUGGGCGUAAAGGGCGCGUAGGCGGUCACGCGCGUCCGUUGUGAAAUCGCUCGGCUCAACUGGGCGAGGUCAGCGGAUACGGCGUGGCUGGAGCAAGCUAGGGGGCAAUGGAAUUCCCGGUGUAGCGGUGAAAUGCGCAGAUAUCAGGAAGAACACCCGUGGCGAAGGCGGUUCUCUGGGACGGUACUGACGCUGAGACGCGAAAGCGUGGGGAGCGAACAGG